rnacentral:ncRNA from 1 species
GCAACCUGGUGCUGGCGCGUGGCAACCGCACGGUAUUCCUGAGCCUGCUCGGCAUUUCGUGGCUGUGGUUCCUGGGCGCCACCUUCCUGACCUCGUUCUUCAGCUAUGCCAAGGAUGUGCUG